rnacentral:rRNA from 1 species
AUGAAUUACAUUCUUAAAGACUUCUUUGCCUUCAAGCACCCUACAGCAGCCAGGGCUUGUCCAAAUGGACCUGAUCAUGAAGAGAGAACAAAACAAGGACAAGACAUCAAAUCAGACAAAAGAAUUUGCCAUCUUCGGUCAAAAGAAUACCAAGCAGAGACAAAUAGGCUUAUUCAGGUUUUCACUGUUGGCCUAUACCAUAUGAAGAUUACCUUUGUUUCCGCUUAUCUGGAACAAGCAAACCUGACGAUUUCUCCAAUGUUGUUACCAUGGCAAGGUGUUCUCCCAUAUAUUUCAACCAAGCUGAUAUAUAUCCACACAUAA